AUUGAACGCUGGCGGCAUGCCUUACACAUGCAAGUCGGGCGAGUGGCGGACGGGUGAGUAAUGUAUGGGGAUCUGCCUGAUCGAGGGGGAUAACUACUCGAAAAGGUGGCUAAUACCGCAUACUAUUCGAUCAACCCAUAUGGGAUUAGCUGGUAGGUGGGGUAACGGCUCACCUAGGCGACGAUCCCUAGCUGGUCUGAGAGGAUGAUCAGCCACACUGGGACUGAGACACGGCCCAGACUCCUACGGGAGGCAGCAGUGGGGAAUAUUGCACAAUGGGGGCAAGCCUGAUGCAGCCAUGCCGCGUGUAUGAAGAAGGCCUUCGGGUUGUAAAGUACUUUCAGUCGAGAGGCGUUACCGACAGAAGAAGCACCGGCUAACUCCGUGCCAGCAGCCGCGGUAAUUC
rnacentral:rRNA from 1 species